rnacentral:rRNA from 1 species
AUUGAACGCUGGCGGCAUGCUUUACACAUGCAAGUCGAACGGCAGCGCGGGCUUCGGCCUGGCGGCGAGUGGCGAACGGGUGAGUAAUGCAUCGGAACGUGCCCAGUAGUGGGGGAUAGCCCGGCGAAAGCCGGAUUAAUACCGCAUACGACCUGAGGGUGAAAGCGGGGGACCGAAAGGCCUCGCGCUAUUGGAGCGGCCGAUGUCGGAUUAGCUAGUUGGUGGGGUAAAGGCUUACCAAGGCGACGAUCCGUAGCUGGUCUGAGAGGACGACCAGCCAACCGGGGACUGAGACCGGGCCCAGACCCCUAGGGGAGGAAGCAGUGGGGAAUUUUGGACAAGGGGGGCAACCCUGAUCCAGCCAGGCCGGGGGGGGGAAGAAGGCCUCCGGGUUGUAAACCGUUUUUGUUGGGGAAAAAAUCCUCUGGGCUAAUACCCCGGGGGGAUGACGGAACCGGAAAAAUAAGCACCGGCAAACUACGU